UCCGGUAUAGUCUAGUUGGUAAGACGCCUGGCUAAGCCCCAGGAAACUCGGGUUCGAAUCCCGAUACCGGAA